rnacentral:rRNA from 1 species
GAUGAACGCUGGCGGCGUGCCUAAUACAUGCAAGUCGAGCGAACAGACGAGGAGCUUGCUCCUUCGACGUUAGCGGCGGACGGGUGAGUAACACGUAGGUAACCUACCUAUAAGACUGGGAUAACUUCGGGAAACCGGAGCUAAUACCGGAUAAUAUUUCGAACCGCAUGGUUCGAUAGUGAAAGAUGGCUGUGCUAUCACUUAUAGAUGGACCUGCGCCGUAUUAGCUAGUUGGUAAGGUAACGGCUUACCAAGGCAACGAUACGUAGCCGACCUGAGAGGGUGAUCGGCCACACUGGAACUGAGACACGGUCCAGACUCCUACGGGAGGAAGCAGUAGGGAAUCUUCCGCAAUGGGCGAAAGCCUGACGGAGCAACGCCGCGUGAGUGAUGAAGGUCUUCGGAUCGUAAAACUCUGUUAUUAGGGAAGAACAAACGUGUAAGUAACUGUGCACGUCUUGACGGUACCUAAUCAGAAAGCCACGGCUAACUACGUG